rfam:Schistosoma rodhaini strain Burundi genome assembly, scaffold: SROB_scaffold0004926
AUCCAGCUGACGAGUCACAAAUAGGACGAAACGUGCGUCCUGGAU